rnacentral:rRNA from 1 species
UAAACGACUCUCGACAAUGGAUAUCUCGGCUCUCGCAUUGAUGAAGAAUGUCACGAAAUGUGAUACUUGGUGUGAAUUGCAGAAUCCCGUGAACCAUCGAGUCUUUGAACGCAAAUUGCGUCCGAAGCCAUUAGGCCGAGGGCACGUCUGCCUGGGCGUCAGAC